rnacentral:misc_RNA from 1 species
GAUGAAGAACGUAGCGAAAUGCGAUACGUAAUGUGAAUUGCAGAAUUCAGUGAAUCAUCGAAUCUUUGAACGCACAUUGCGCCCGCCAGUAUUCUGGCGGGCAUGCCUGUUCGAGCGUCAUUUCAACCAUCAAGCCCCCGGCUUGUGUUGGGGACCUGCGGCUGCCGCAGGCCCUGAAAACCAGUGGCGGGCUCGCUAGUCACUCCGAGCGUAGUAGUUACAUCUCGCUCAGGGCGUGCUGCGGGUUCCGGCCGUUAAAAGCCUUAUUUACCCAAGGUUGACCUCGGAUCAGGUAGGAAGACCCGCUGAACUUAAGCAUAUCAAUAAGCGGAGGA